AAUACCGCAUAUGCCAUGAACAUCACAUGAUGAAAAUGGGAAAAGAGUAAUCUGCUAGUAGAUGGGCUCGCGUCUGAUUAGAUAGUUGGUGGGGUAACGGCCUACCAAGUCGACGAUCAGUAGCCGGACUGAGAGGUUGAACGGCCACAUUAGGACUGAGAUACGGCCCAGACUCCUACGGGAGGCAGCAGUCGGGAAUGUUGCGCAAUGGAGGAAACUCUGACGCAGUGACGCCGCGUAUAGGAAGAAGGUUUUCGGAUUGUAAACUAUUGUCGUUAGGGAAGAUACAAGACAGUACCUAAGGAGGAAGCUCCGGCUAACUACGUGCCAGCAGCCGCGGUAAUACGUAGGGAGCAAGCGUUAUCCGGAUUUAUUGGGUGUAAAGGGUGCGUAGACGGGACAACAAGUUAGUUGUGAAAUCCCUCGGCUUAACUGAGGAACUGCAACUAAAACUAUUGUUCUUGAGUGUUGGAGAGGAAAGUGGAAUUCCUAGUGUAGCGGUGAAAUGCGUAGAUAUUAGGAGGAACACCGGUGGCGAAGGCGACUUUCUGGACAAUAACUGACGUUGAGGCACGAAAGUGUGGGGAGCAAACAGGAUUAGAUACCCUGGUAGUCCACACCGUAAACGAUGGAUACUAGGU
rnacentral:rRNA from 1 species